rnacentral:rRNA from 1 species
GUCGACGGUAACAGGCCGCAAGGUGCUGACGAGUGGCGAACGGGUGAGUAAUGCAUCGGAACGUGCCCAGUCGUGGGGGAUAACGCAGCGAAAGCUGUGCUAAUACCGCAUACGAUCUGUGGAUGAAAGCGGGGGACCUUCGGGCCUCGCGCGAUUGGAGCGGCCGAUGUCAGAUUAGGUAGUUGGUGGGGUAAAGGCUCACCAAGCCAACGAUCUGUAGCUGGUCUGAGAGGACGACCAGCCACACUGGGACUGAGACACGGCCCAGACUCCUACGGGAGGCAGCAGUGGGGAAUUUUGGACAAUGGGCGCAAGCCUGAUCCAGCAAUGCCGCGUGCAGGAAGAAGGCCUUCGGGUUGUAAACUGCUUUUGUACGGAACGAAACGGUCUGGGCUAAUACCUCGGGCUAAUGACGGUACCGUAAGAAUAAGCACCGGCUAACUACGUGCCAGCAGCCGCGGUAAUACGUAGGGUGCAAGCGUUAAUCGGAAUUACUGGGCGUAAAGCGUGCGCAGGCGGUGAUGUAAGACAGUCGUGAAAUCCCCGGGCUCAACCUGGGAAUUGCGAUUGUGACUGCAUCGCUGGAGUGCGGCAGAGGGG